CUUGAUCUGAGGGUCAGGGAGAAGCCGAGAUGAUGGAACUUCUAAGGCACAGCUAAUGGGACACCUCAAAUGGGAGAAAGAUCAAGUGGACCAUCCCUGGAGUUUGAAAUGAAUCUUCCAUCACCUGCAGUUGAAGUUCUGAUACCGGAGUUAAAGAAACAAGAUCUAGACACCUUCAAAGGCUUCUAGAGGUUGUAUUCAGUCACUGCAUUUUCCUCAGAAAAAGUACACAUUUGAAGAAGCAAUUGGAGUAAAUCAACAGGGUGAUGAUGAGGACAAAAAGGUACUUUGAGAAAAUACAGUAAAAGAUGAACUGAAAUGGGACAAGGAUAAUGAAGGAAGGAUUCGUAAAGAAGUUCGGAUCGCUUCCAGUGCCGACUUCAAGUACUGAGGUGGGAGCAACAGUUCUGGGGCCUUUAUUGAUGUCCAACAAUACCCAGAGACCCCCUUUUCCUGUACUUUCUUCUAAGAGAAGGAAACAUCUUCCAAAACCCCUCGGCAAAUUUCUCUUUGCAUCUCAUUAGCCCAAAGUGGGCCACAUGUUCAUUCCAGAAUCACCACCCAGAGAAACAUUUGACUUAGACCCCUCAGGGCUCAUCCUUGACUAAGAUCAGUUCUCUCAAUUGCAUGACUACUACAAAAUAAGGAGAGAUGGCGUGGACACUGAAGAACAACUAUAACUAUAACCCUCCCCUUUAGUUGCCCAAUAUUCAUAUGUAACCUCCAUGCUAUAUUACACACAACUCCAGAAAUCCCCAUGCCUAAUAAAAUGCACUUGGGCCCUUCUAAAAAAGUACCACCCGAACUUUAUCCAACUCUGUAUCCAGGUGCAAACCCAGGACCUCUGGGAGAUGUGUAGUCCCCUCCAUCGUCUGUUACUAGUAUGUACACUCGGAUUUAAAAGAAACUGGGUAGAGGAAUGAAGUGAUUAUUUCUUAUUAUGUAAGCUUGGAAAACUCUGAGUUUCAGUGUCCUCAUGUAUUCAAUGAUAAUAAUAAUGUCUCCUAU